UGCUGUUUGCAUUGCCCUACUUUUCUCGGUGGGAGCAGCAGGGCAGCAGUUUGGUUUCUCACCACAGCAGCAUUUAACCUUUGUCACGAAACAUCUGACCGUUGGUUUGAAGAAGCAGUGGAGUUUGUGUGUGUGAUGGGAGGGGUUUGGUUAGGAUUUGAAAGCGUGUGCUUCUCACCCGUUGAAACUGCCAGGUCUGUGCAUUAGAGGUGGUUUUCCCGUCAUCCUUAGAGCAAAGAUAAUUUUUGCCUGUUGUCUCUUUUUCACAGGAUCCUUGCUUGGUGCGAAAAUGGAAAAGAGUUUUGGUGUAGGAAAGAUGCCAAGUAGCUGAGCAGAUGUGGGUUACCAGAUAGAGUCCCUGACGGCUGGUGUGUGGAGUGGCUGCAGGCACUCUGAGAGUUGGAUUAAAAAGCAGCAACCUGAGCAUCCCUGUGUGAGCUGAGCAUCCGCAGGGCAGCGGAGCCCAGCAGCACCCAGGCCAAGUGCAUUCUGUUCUGAGUGAAAGCUUUGGUUCUGCCUCUGCAUCUGGUGGCUGUCAGGUACCCCCUGCUGUAAUGGCUGCCUUUUCUCUGCAGUGGGUAAAUGCUCUCUGUUUUAGGCCCACUAGUCGGCUUGCUGCCUUAGUGGCAUAACUUGUAGGACAUUGCAGUGUCUUCUGCAAGGAAAAGUAUUUUGCACGUUGGAAAAUGGUUCUGAAAACAGAGAGUUUCUAGGUAAGUGCUGCUGUAUAGUCCCAGCACUGAUGUGGAAGCUGGAAAGCAACGCUCCCUAUCCUCCCUUUCAGUGAUUUAUGUAACUUCUCUCCAUUUUACAGUAUUGUCAAGACUUGUUUUUUUCCAAACCCCAGAACAGGGCAUGUGAAUUGAAGGAAACGAUUGCUGUCCCCAAACCCACCACCCAGAGCAGCCCUUGCUGCUGGCUCUUCCGCACCCACCUCCCCGGCUCAUCCCACUGCGCUCUGCUCAGCAUUUGAAGCACAAACUGUGGCAGCUCGAGGGGGGAAGCCACAACAAUGGGCCUUUUCUUCACUCUGGGAGCGAAGCUGCAGGUCUCAGAGCGGGGGCUGCCCUCCCCAUGCUGCUGUGUCAGCACUCAGGCAUGAGAAGGUUAUUCAGCCCCCGCAGCACCCUGUUGGCAGCUGUGUUGGGUCUCCAGAGAGUGUCUGCUAUUGCUUUUCUCUCUGUGGGGGGAAAUUUGACUGCUUACAGAGGAACCGAGGAAGAAAUAAUGUCUUUUGGCUUGCUGCAGUUGUCAUAGUGUGUUUUAUCACAUUUAUCUGGAAAGUGUUGUCCAGAGCCCAGCCCGGCUUCCCAGUGCCUUUGCUGAGAAACUGAGGCGCUGAGAGGCUGUAACAAGCUGUGAUUCAUAACCUGUCACUGCAAACCUGCCAGGUUGCUGGCAGGACUCCUGUCCCGCUGCUGUAGCUGCCUGCAGAUUUAAGGGGAUGCUCUGCUUUUCUCCACUGCCCCAGGCUGCAGGAGGGGUGUGAGCGUGUUUGUUUUUUUCUGUGAGUAUAUAUUUUUUGACACUUCUCCGGUGCUGUGGGCAGCAGCAUUUGGUUUUUCUUUCCCUCCAGCUCCGAGCUGCUCUCACAGUGCUCUCACCCACUGCUGUGCUCUUUCCCAGUCCCCAGGUUGUGCCAGGCAGUGCGGGGGAGCUGGCACAGCCCUCCCACCCCGCUUCCCAUUAAUUUUACAAGUGAAUCAGAAGGUUCUUGUGAAGGUUUGUGUGGGAGUAUCGUGGAGGAGGUAGGAAGAGCUGGUCGCCCUUUAAGAGCAGCCCCAUUACAUCACUUGCCAAGAGCUUUGGGCUCUUUCAGCCGGAGCCAGAUCCACUGCUCCAGCAGCAGCACCCGUUGCCCUUAGCAACAGGCAUCUCCGUGCUGUUGCCAUGGGAACGACAGCUGGGUAGCGGAGGGCAUCUCCUGCCUUGCACAUCUCCUACCUCACACGUCACUUGCCUUGAGGACACGUUUGCCAGCCCUUCGGUGAGUGGUGCAAGCUGCAGCCAAAAGAUGCUGCCAAGAUGCCUGAGAGUGCCUGGAAGCUGCUUUUCUACACAAUAUCCUGGUCCUAUGGCUGCUACCUGCUGUUCUUCACUGACUACCCCUUCUUCUACGACCCACCGUCCGUCUUUUAUGACUGGAAGAAGGGCAUGGAUGUGCCCACGGACAUUGCUAUCGCCUACCUGUUGCAGUGCAGCUUCUACUGGCACUCCAUCUAUGCCACUGCCUACAUGGACACGUGGCGCAAGGACUCCAUUGUCAUGCUGCUCCACCACGUGGUUGCUCUGACCCUCAUAGCCUUCUCCUACGCUUUCAGGUACCACAACGUGGGCAUCCUCGUGCUCUUCCUGCAUGACAUUAAUGACGUGCAGCUGGAAUUCACUAAGCUCAAUGUCUACUUCAAGCACCGGGGGGGUGUCUAUCAUCGGCUCAACGACAUCAUCUCCAACAUUGGCUGCCUCACCUUCAGUGUCAGCUGGUUUUGGUUCCGUCUCUACUGGUUUCCCCUCAAGGUGCUCUACGCCACCUGCUACUCCAGCCUCCAGUCGGUUCCUAAUAUCCCCUUCUACUUCUUCUUCAAUGCUCUGCUCCUUGUCCUCACUCUGAUGAACAUCUACUGGUUUCUGGUGAGUAGGGGAAGCUCAGCAACCCCUACGCUGCCUCUCCUGCCUCAGCUGCUGCUGUGUGAUGCCUGCUGCCUGCCUCUCCAGGGUGGCUGUGGGAGCUGCAGGCACGGGGAAGUGUUGGGGUUUGAGUGGGAAGGGAGGAGUGCAGUGCCCAGAGGGCUUCUUGGUGCUGGAAUUGAGAAUGUUGUCUCUCAGCCCAGGGAUCCAUGGGAAGGGAUUGUGACAGACUGUUGUUGCCCGGGGCUCCUUGGCACUGGAGCAGUACAUCGUCCUGUUUGUGGCCAAGGUGCUGAUGGGGCAGGUGCACGAGGUGAAUGACGUGCGCGAGUAUGAUGUGGAGGACAGCAAGAAAACCACAGCAGCCAAGAAGAAAGAGAGCGGGCUCCAGCUGCCCAGUGCUCUGAAAGAAGGGAUGCACCUGAAGAACGGACUUGUGAAAGACAAGCGGUUAUAAGAGCGUGGCUGCUGCAGCUUGGCUGGAUCUGGGGACUGAGCCAGGACCCUACGCUCAAUCCCAGCAAAUGAAAGGCACAAGAAGAACUUAAUCCCCAACGCCCCUUCAUCCCCUGCCUGGAGCCGGGGAGGAGAUGCCACUGAUGGAACAGGCCCCUGCCAGGCCUUGCCUGUGACCAGGCUUCACCUGAUGCUGUGUGCUUUUUGUAGCCUGUAUGUGCUGGUUCGGUUGAGAGGCUUUGCUGGUCCAGGUAGGAUUUGGAGCUGGCUUUAGGUCCCCUGGUGCUUCCUCUCUCACUCCAUCCCUCAGCUAUUCUCAGUCCCUUUGUGAUUUCUCCUGUUGUUUGCAUUGGCUCCUCCCCACCACUCUGCCUCAGCAGCACUGAAGGGUCCUCUGAUGCAGUGUCAGGUGGGGAGGGGGACGUCCUGUCCUCCAUUGGCACUGCAGUAUCAGGUAUAGGGAGCCCAAAGCCAGCUCUGCUCCAGGUGCCAGCAGGCAGCAGAGAGGUGAAGCAGUGCACUUCUGGGCCUUGCUGACUUGGAGGGGUCUAACUCAAAGAUGUCUGUGCUUCUCUGGAGGCUGCGGCAUGCAGCACAGUUCUCAUGUGCAGGUCUUCCUGGAAACCCAGCCCUAGAGCAUUAUUCCGGCCCAGGAUGAGGGCCAGGACAUCUUGUUUGCUUAAAAAGCCCAUGUAAGAGAUAUCUCCAUACUCUUGUCCAGCAAUGUCUGCUUGCUUGAGUGAAGAGCAGUCAAUCUCUGCUGCCUGUGCUGGUUUUCCAGGUAGCAUUGACCUGAGCCUGGUGAAGCCUGUGUGCUGGGCUGGGUCAUACACCUCAUUGCUGUGAAGCCCUGAAACUGGGGCUGACCCAGCACAGAGCUCCCCGGCUGGAAUCAGUAGGCAGUGGUAGGAUACUGGAUGCAUCCGUUCCAGGCAUCAGAGAUUGGCUAAUUUUUUAACUUUUUUUUCUUUUUUUAAAUUUUAUUUUUUACUCUUUGUUCUCUUUAUGUUGAUUUGACUCACUGCUGCCACGUGAGCCUCAGGGAAACUGAAAGCAAAAUGUGACUUUGGCUUGAUGGAAACUGCCAAGCUGUGGCAGGAUGCGUCACCUUGUAAUUUCCUAGCAGAGUUUCAGAGGGCUCUAUCUGUGUGCUUUAGUUUCUUGGCUUUUGAACUGGAUUUGCAGGAAGGAGGAAAUGAAGGAAACUGAAUCUCAGUGCCUCGGUAUGCUGGGCACUGGCACUGGUUGGGUUGCAGCAUUUGGUGUGAGUGCCCCUGAGUGGGGGGACCCCGUGUGGGAAGUGGGUGCUGAUUGCUGUUUGUGCACCUGGGCUGUGGGAGGAUGGUGUGAGGUGGGAGCUGAAGGGCAGAGUUUGAAGAUGAUGUGGUGUGCUGGAAGUUAACAGCCUUUGGAGGAAGUGUUAAACACUGUGAUUGAAGAGCUGACUGGGAGGAGGCAGUGAGAGGAUGCCCUGACUGACCAGCGUCUCCCCAGUCUGGGUGGAGUGGCCACCAGAUCCACCUUUCUCCAGGGCACAUGGAGCAGCUCGGCGUGCUGGCAGCAUUGCCACUGCAUGGAACUUCUUGUGGGACCUCAAUGGUGUGGAGAUGCGGAAGGGGAGGGAGCUCUGAGCUGCUGUCCUGCCACAGCCUCAAAGGGUUAACAGGCCCCGAGGAGCCUGGGGGGACCGUUCACACCCUCUGCCCAAUCCUGGGAAUCCCUGUGUGCUAAUUGAGCACUAACGA